rnacentral:tRNA from 1 species
GCCGCGGUAGCUCAGCCUGGGAGACCUCACAGCUCAUCAGCAUCCGGCUGAAGACCGGAGUGUCGUCGGCUCAAAUCCGACCCGCGGCA